rnacentral:lncRNA from 1 species
AGGUGUUAACUGAGCCAUUUGCUCUUGUGGUGCUCCUCAUCCAGCAGGGAGAAUCAGUGAUGACUAAAUUGCAACACAACUUGGAAAAUGCCGCACCAAGGUGGGACUAACUCCAACUUCACUUGGAAGCAUCAGCUCCUAAUAUGUCAGAGUUGACCCUCACAGAGCAUCCUAACGAAAGACCAUCCAAAAGAGGGCGUCCACGUGUUCAACGUUGGCUCCUGAAGGGCUUGCCCUUCCUCUGCAGUCAUUUCCUGAUUAACAGUGGAUCCAUUUAGUUGAAUUGUGGUCAGACUGGUUGUGUCUGUGGACAUAGAAAUACCGAUGACCUGAUUUCCCCCAGGAGUCUUUCAGCUUCGGGACAGGACAUGGCAGAAGUUGAGUUAACCUAAGAGAUUUGGGAGCCAGGAGGAAGAUUCUGACAUUGCUAAUUAGAGAGACACUACAGGGAUUAUAACAAAUCUGGAGAAUGAACUCUAAGAUCACCAGGUGGUGCCCCUGGAACUUGUCCAGCUGCCCAAAUAUGGAAGAGAAUGAGACUUCAAGGAAGGAUGGUCUCUUUUGUCUAUGGAAUUAACCUAUGUUAAUUUAUUUCCUACUAAAUUUCAAGCUACAGUGUAGAAGCUUUAAUUAACACUCAGAACCAAGGAUGGGUCCAGUGGGACUGUCCCGAGAACGUGUGCACACAAGCUCAUCUCUAAACUCAUCCCUAAUACUAAUUAGCCCCACAAGUUCUCCAAGGGCCUUGUCUGCUAAUUUGGAACCUGGCGAUGAGCUCUAUCUCUGCCUAGCCUUGGAGAACAAGGACACAAAUCUCUUCAUCUCCAUUAUCAAUGUCAUGCCAACGGCCCAGGGGGACUAUGGAAUCAUUAAUGACUCCUCAUUGGUUGGCAGAGCAACUUGAAGCCCUUCACAAAGUGACUCUGCCUGGUUUGCUCCUCCACAUCCAACUGUGACAUAAUGGGGUUAGUUCAGUGGACAACACUGCUGCAUUCUGGUGAGGACAUUGGCCUCACCCCCUACCAUGCUGACCUUGGAUGGAAAUGUACAUUCUCGAGGCUUUGAACACAAAGAUGAACACAAGAACACUUCAGAGGAGUGUGGGGCUGGCAGUUGGGAAGCCCAAGACCUCUUCCCCGCAGCACCAGUUUUUUCUCCCGUGGAGUUCGUU